UGCAAGUCGAACGAGGUAGCAAUACCUAGCGGCAGAUGGGUGCGUAACAUGUGGGAAUCUGCCUUUUGGUUCGGAACAACACGGGGAAACCUGUGCUAAUACCGGAUAAGUCCUUACGGAGAAAGUUUUAAUGCCAAAAGAUGAGCCCGCAUUUGAUUAGCUAGUUGGUGAGGUAAAAGCUCACCAAGGCGAUAAUCAAUAGCUGAUUUGAGAGGAUGAUCAGCCACACUGGGACUGAGAUACGGCCCAGACUCCUACGGGAGGCAGCAGUGGGGAAUCUUGCACAAUGGGCGAAAGCCUGAUGCAGCGAUGCCGCGUGAGUGAAGAAGGCCUUUGGGUUGUAAAGCUCUUUUGUCGGGAAAGAUAAUGACUGUACCCGAAGAAUAAGGUCCGGCUAACUUCGUGCCAGCAGCCGCGGUAAUACGAAGGGACCUAGCGUAGUUCGGAAUUACUGGGCGUAAAGAGUAUGUAGGCGGCUAGAUAAGUUAAUUGUGAAAGCCCAAAGCUUAACUUUGGAAUUGCAAUUAAAACUAUUCAGCUGGAGUAUGAUAGAGGAAAGCGGAAUACAUAGUGUAGAGGUGAAAUUCGUAGAUAUUAUGUAGAACACCAGUUGCGAAGGCGGCUUUCUGGAUCAUUACUGACGCUGAGAUACGAAAGUAUGGGUAGCGAAGAGGAUUAGAUACCCUCGUAGUCCAUACCAUAAACGAUGAUUAUUAGAUGUGGGGAAUUAUUUCUCUGUAUCAUAGCUAACGCGUUAAAUAAUCCGCCUGGGGAGUACGACCGCAAGGUUAAAACUCAAAUGAAUUGACGGGGACCCGCACAAGCGGUGGAGCAUGUGGUUUAAUUCGAAGCAACGCGCAGAACCUUACCAACCCUUGACAUGUUCGUCGCGAGACUAAGAAAUUAGUCUCUUCGGUUCGGCCGGACGAAACACAGGUGCUGCAUGGCUGUCGUCAGCUCGUGUCGUGAGAUGUUGGGUUAAGUCCCGCAACGAGCGCAACCCUUGUCAUUAGUUGCUACGAAAGGGCACUCUAAUGAGACUGCCGGUGACAAACCGGAGGAAGGUGGGGAUGACGUCAAGUCCUCAUGGCCCUUAUGGGUAGGGCUUCACACGUCAUACAAUGGUCGGGACAGAGGGUUGCCAACCCGCGAGGGGGAGCCAAUCUCACAAACCCGAUCGUAGUCCGGAUUGCAGUCUGCAACUCGACUGCAUGAAGUCGGAAUCGCUAGUAAUCGCGGAUCAGAAUGUCGCGGUGAAUACGUUCCCGGGUCUUGUACACACCGCCCGUCACACCAUGGGAGUGGGUUUCACCAGAAGUAGUUAGCCUAACCGUAA
rnacentral:rRNA from 1 species